rnacentral:tRNA from 1 species
UCCCUGGAGGACUAGCGGUUAGACUACGGCGCUCUCACCGAUGCGGCCCGGGUUUGAUUCCCGACCAGGGAA